rnacentral:tRNA from 1 species
GCAAGAGUGGCGGAAUUGGCAGACGCACUGGACUUAGGAUCCAGCUCCCGAAAGGGAAUAGGGGUUCGACUCCCCUCUCUUGCACCA